rnacentral:rRNA from 1 species
UACGUAGGGUGCAAGCGUUGUCCGGAAUUAUUGGGCGUAAAGAGCUCGUAGGCGGUCUGUCACGUCGGCUGUGAAAUCCCGAGGCUCAACCUCGGGUCUGCAGUCGAUACGGGCAAACUAGAGUAUUGCAGGGGAGACUGGAAUUCCUGGUGUAGCGGUGAAAUGCGCAGAUAUCAGGAGGAACACCGAUGGCGAAGGCGGGUCUCUGGGCCGUAACUGACGCUGAGGAGCGAAAGCGUGGGGAGCGAACAGG